GGGGAUUCUCNAGNGGCUCNAACCUUUGCCUUGGGCUUUUGCCCAGNGUAAGUANCCUGGAGAAUAAAUGGUGGGCCAGGCCGGNUGCCNNGGCCCCNCCGUAAUNCCCGCCNCCCCAGUGGCAAUCGCGAUUAUUGGGCCUAAAGCGUUCGUAGCCGGUUCAGUAAAUCUUUUGUGAAAUUCGUNCGGCUUAAACCGUNCGGCGUGCAGNGGACACUGCCGAACUAGAGACCCGGAGGAGUCAGAGGUAUUCUUGGGGGACCGGUAAAAAUGGGAUAAUCCCCAAGUAGACCGCCGAUGGCGAAGGCAUCUGACCAGAACGGAUCUGACGGUGAGGGACGAAAGCCAGGGGAGCGAUCCGGAUUAGAUACCCGAGUAGUCCUGGCCGUAAACGCUGCGAGCAAGUUAUUGCAUUUCUUACAAUGGAUUUGCAUUGUCGAAACCCAACCCUCUNAACCUCCU
rnacentral:rRNA from 1 species